rnacentral:rRNA from 1 species
UACGUAGGUGGCGAGCGUUGUCCGGAUUUACUGGGCGUAAAGAGCGCGCAGGCGGUCGUUCAAGUCGCGUGUGAAAGCCCCCGGCUCAACUGGGGAGGGUCACGCGAUACUGAUCGACUCGAAGGCAGGAGAGGGUAGUGGAAUUCCCGGUGUAGUGGUGAAAUGCGUAGAGAUCGGGAAGAACAUCGGUGGCGAAGGCGGCCUGCUGGGCUGUUGCUGACGCUGAGGCGCGACAGCGUGGGGAGCAAACAGG